UUGAAACAAAAUAAUGAAAAAUAAUAUAAAAAAAGUAACUAUACUAGGUAUGUCCCAAAAGUAACUUCCAAGCUCUAGUUUGCUCGAUUUUUGGCUAAUUUGAACUCAAAAUUUUGUAAAUUUUUGGCUAAUUACCCUUGCACUCUCUUAAGAGGGGGGUGUAUUAUGUAACAGAAUUAUUCUUGUUUCAAAAAUUAUCUUGUUUUUCGGUUAAUUCUUUGAAAAACAUCCUUAUCUAGGAGGUUUGUCGAAUACUGUCGAAUGAGAGUUUCUUUCUCCCAUUCGAUUUUCUCACUUACUCCCAUUCUGUUAACAUGGAGCUCGCUCAGUUUCUGUCCUUGUCGCUGCAAUUUCUUUCUUGUUCUUCUUCCUGAUUAACGGUCGAAUAACAAUUUUUGGUAGAAAACAGCUAGUUCAAGUCGAGCUCCCGGUGAGAAAGGAUGUAACUCCCGCUUCUUAUUUUUUUUCAUGUUUAACUGUAAAUUCUGUACUUAUUUUGUUCACUAAGUAAUGUGAAGUUUUCUAUUAAUACAAAACCGGUAGUAACUCCAUAGUUCACAGUAGUCCUCAAAUUUAUAAUUUAAAAUGCCGGUAUUCAAAUAUUACAUCAGAUUGUUUUAAUGCGUGCAAAAACCCGCUAUUAAAGCGGUCGAUGUCUACGCUCGAAGUCUAUGCUCGAUGUCUAUGCUGGAUGUCCAUGCCCGAAGUCCAUGAUUGAAGCCAGGUCCCAUAUUCCACGUUCCAUGGUGAGGCUGCAAGUCUACAUUCGGUGAACCAGACCGAUGAUUACGAAUCCAGGACGUCCAGUCUAAUUAUUCUGGUACGAGGACUGGUCCAGACGAAUCUGGGAAGAUUCCACCGGAGUUCGUAAUUGUACAAACCCGCCACACCACAAGAUUCGCCAUCUUCAAAUAAUAUCGACGUAUAAGGAUAUCAGCCAAACUUCGUAACAUCGCCCAUAUGGAUAAAGUGUAAACAGUGCUCGCGAAAAGUAAAAUAUUGCAAAAGUGUUCAUCGAUUAAAAGGGUUUUGGGGCGCCCCUCCUCAACAUAUAAGGUAUUUAUCUGAAUCACUAUGUAUUGAGAUCAAAAUGUAAUCUGUUUAUUUUAUAUUCAUAAUUUGUUGCACCGUUUAAUCUGUUUUCAAUAUUUAAUUAGAUGCUUCUUUCAGCUAUCGAUAACUGUACAAUUGAUUUGAUUCGAUAUUUAAAUUUGUCCAAUUCUGUUUAUCUUCAAAAUUAAAUUUAACACACAUGCUUACUACCGAA